rnacentral:rRNA from 1 species
GAUGAACGCUGGCGGCGUGCCUAAUACAUGCAAGUCGAGCGAACGGACGAGAAGCUUGCUUCUCUGAUGUUAGCGGCGGACGGGUGAGUAACACGUGGAUAACCUACCUAUAAGACCGGGAUAACUUCGGGAAACCGGAGCUAAUACCGGAUAAUAUUUUGAACCGCAUGGUUCAAAAGUGAAAGACGGUCUUGCUGUCACUUAUAGAUGGAUCCGCGCUGCAUUAGCUAGUUGGUAAGGUAACGGCUUACCAAGGCAACGAUGCAUAGCCGACCUGAGAGGGUGAUCGGCCACACUGGAACUGAGACACGGUCCAGACUCCUACGGGAGGCAGCAGCAGGGAAUCUUCCGCAAUGGGCGAAAGCCUGACGGAGCAACGCCGCGUGAGUGAUGAAGGUCUUCGGAUCGUAAAACUCUGUUAUUAGGGAAGAACAUAUGUGUAAGUAACUGUGCACAUCUUGACGGUACCUAAUCAGAAAGCCACGGCUAACUACGUG